ACGGAGGAUCCGAGCGUUAUCCGGAUUUAUUGGGUUUAAAGGGUGCGCAGGCGGGAUGUUAAGUCGGCGGUGAAAUUUUUCGGCUCAACCGAAAAAGUGCCUUGGAUACUGGCUUUCUUGAGUGUGGAUGAAGAAAGCGGAAUUUGUGGUGUAGCGGUGAAAUGCUUAGAUAUCACGAGGAACUCCGAUGGCGAAGGCAGCUUACUAAACUAUAACUGACGCUCAUGCUCGAAGGCGUGGGUAGCAAACAG
rnacentral:rRNA from 1 species